GUGAUUUCCUUAUAUGUACCACAUUUAAACAAAUUACUCCAUUUGGCAUAAUCACUGCAUUUGCUGUCAUUAAAGUAAUUACAUCCAUAGUCAAUAAUUCCAAAAAAAGGUUUUAUAGAACUCAGCUUACAUUUCAUCCUGAACCCAUACGCCCAUGCAAAAGUUAAAGCUUGGCCAGGUCCGAGGCUGAGUGAAGAUAGAUGACUGAUGAGGAGAGGAGAUCUUGUCCUCCAUGUAGCUGUCAAAAAUUCUGUAGACCAAGGAGUGUAUAAUAAGGGGAAAUAUGGUAUGUGAUUUAGGGUGCAGGCUCUGAAGGCAUCCUGCCUGGGUUCAAAUUUUCCUUCUAGCUCUGUGACCUUCAACAAGCUGCUUAAGCUCACAGUAUCUGAAGCUCUACCUCUGAAAAUGGGGACAAUAAUAAUACUUCACUCAUACGGUUGUUGUAAAGAGCUUAUGAGUUAAUCCAUGUAAAGUGCUUACAUGUUGAACUCUAAAACAUAAACUACUAAAAAAUAAAA